UACGUAGGGGGCAAGCGUUGUCCGGAUUCAUUGGGCGUAAAGAGCGUGUAGGCGGCCAGGUAGGUCGGUUGUGAAAACUGGAGGCUCAACCUUCAGAGGUCGACCGAAACCAUCUGGCUAGAGUCCGGGAGAGGGAUGUGGAAUUCCAGGUGUAGCGGUGAAAUGCGUAGAUAUCUGGAGGAACACCGGUGGCGAAGGCGGCAUCCUGGACCGGUAUUGACGCUGAUGCGCGAAAGCCAGGGGAGCAAACGGG
rnacentral:rRNA from 1 species